UCUAGAGAGGCCAUUUUGCAACUGGUGACUGCUUGCUGCAUUCUCUAUCUUCUAACUGGGGAAAGUUUGUGUAAUCCAGCCCUUAAUAGGGGGAUGGCUUCAUAGAUCACUGCUCAUUACAUCCUGGCAUGGCAACCACAGUGAUUGCCGACAUGGAAAACUCAGGAAAGUACUUAAUGAAAUGUAGCAGCUGGAAACAAAGAAAGAGAACUAACACCAGGGCUGGAAUUUUUGAAGUUACCCAACACUACCCAAUUCUCUGAGUGUCAAAGUCCCCUAAAGGGCUUUGAAAGUCUCACCCAUGUGACCAGACAUCUCUACAGACUACUGACAAGUAUUCCAUGGACCAUAGUUUGAGAUAUCCUCUUCUAAGGAAGUCUCUGUAGCAUGGAUUGACAUUUAUAAAUAGUCUUGACAUCUAAACCAGACAGCAAGGUGGUUGGAGAGCUCUUCCAUUACGUUCUAAAUGUGGCAUCUUAGGGACGUCCUGCUCUUUCCAUCACCACAUAGUUUGCCAAAGGUGGAAUUUGCUUUUGUAAUUUAGCAUUGUGGAAAAGUAUAAGCUGGUAGGAUAUUCUCAAACUAGCAUCCCUUGGGAAUGUUACUAUGUGGAGUUUUGGAAAACUGUCUGCCACAGAGUUUACUUUUUUUUUUUUUUAAAUAAUCAGUUUUAUAGGCCAGAGUGUAGAGGUUGCUCGAAUGUACUGCAGUCAGUUUCCCUUUCUAUAAACAUCAGAUUUGCAUCCCAAAUUCCAAGAAAGAAAUGGCAAAGCUCUGCUCUCCUGGCUUACUUAUCUAGCUAGAGUUAAAUUUUGCUAGCAGGGAAAAAAAAAAUCUUCCUGGAAAAUGGACACAGUGCAGUGAGUUACCUAAUAAGAAAGGAGUUAAGUUGUGAUAGCGUUGCUGGUCCCAGAACCACAUUCUUCUUGUUACUCUCUGCCAUCCAUUGACCCAGAAAACCAGAGAUAACUAGCGUUAAUGAUGCUGCAUGUCUUUUAGUCCCUUUUGUGACUCUGAGGAUACAUCUGGCCUGUUCCGUGAAGGCCAAACUCACAGGCCAUACGACAUGUAUAGUAUAUGCAGAAAGAUUUGCAACUCAUGAGUUUCCAUGUACUCUAUGUUCAUUUGUCUUUAGGUAUUUUUAGUUCUCUGUGUAAGUAUUUUACAUGUUCUACAAUAUAGCACAUUUAGGGCCAGAUCCAACACCCAAGGAAGUCGAUGUGAGUUUUUCCAUUGUCUUUGGUGGCAGUUGAAUCAGGCCCCCAGAGCUGUGAGAAACACCUAAGGGAAGCUUAAGGAAUAAAUUACUUAAUGGGUCAAGAUGAAAAUACAGCAUCUCUCUGGUAUUCCAUAAUCCUCCAUGUACUCAGUGAUACUGUAUGUCAGAUAUUGGAGACUAGAGUCUGUUAUCCCCUAAAUCCCAUUACCCACAUCUAUGCCAAACCCUGGGGACCAUCAUCUCUUUACAUCAUUUCUGUAAGCACUGUGACUAAGAGAUAUUAGUUCUGGGAAUCAGAAAAUGUUAAAUGGUGAAGUCAUUUGCUGCAUCCUCUCCCUUCCGGGGCAUGAUGCUUCCAGACAUGACAACAUUCAAGACAGAAAGGAACACCAGUUCACAGAUAGGUUAAAUAUCCAGCAUGAAGGCCUGUAGAUACUCUUAUGCAUGCAACAUUCACCCAACCCUUGAGGCUCAGCUCUGGUUGCUAUUUCUUUCAAAUAGGCUGUUCCUACCUCAAUGCUACUUUGAAAGGGUGGUCUAAUUAGAACUACAGGUUCCUUACCGUACAGUCUCCAUGAGUACAUAUUACCUCCCUGGGAAUCUGACCGUUUGCUGAUGUCCGAAUUUUGCAACCGUUCACAACGGUGCACAGUGAGGACCUUACAAAACAAAAAUCCCUGUAUCUAUUAUGUUAGAAGAAGGAGAAGAGGUUAUAAGUAGAGUGAGCUGAGAAACAGUCAGUUCUUUGGAUGGAAAUUUUUGAAAAAAAAUUCUUCAUAACUUCCAAAUUUCCAUUUUUGAUGGAAAAAUGAUCCCCCCCCCAAUUUGUUUCCAUAUUUGCCCCUCUUUGCCUUCUUCCCUCCCCCUCUUGAUUCUUUUUUUCCAUUUUGACAUGAGAAAAGGAAGAAAAAUGGAGAGAAGCGGGGAAGGAAAAUAAAAACCAAUUUUUGUUUGGUAUUUUUCCAUUGAAAAACUGGACAAAUUUGAAAGAC